rnacentral:lncRNA from 12 species
UGAGCUGAAGGCCCACACGCUCCCCAACGGAGCCACCCGGCGCCCAAUCCUAAGAGAACUGACUUCAUCCCUUGCUGAGAACCAAACGAAUCCAUUUCACUCCCGUGAUGACCUAACACAACGUCAUCCAUUCGUUCACUUACGGGCAUCCUAGCAACACCUCCGGAGGCCUAUGAGGACCCAGGCCCGGGGUGAGCAGCGCACCUGACCCUCUGCUCAGGUCCCAGGACAGGUGCCUCCUCGCAGAAGACCCAAGGGGCAGUGAGGAGGCCGACGGAGCUGUUCCCGAGGCGGGUGCUUCCUCUGCUCCCCCAGGAGGGGGAUCCCGGUGAGCCUGGGGACCAGGAGGGCCCACUGCCACCCCCAGGGAUAGCAGGGGCUGGUCCGCAGUGCUCAUGGUGGUUACUACUGGGGACCAGGCCUACGGGGCCCAGAGGACUAGGAGGGGGAUCCAGGUGGGCCUGGGGACCAGGUGGGCCCACCCCCACCCCCACCCCCAGGGAGAGCAGGGGCUUAUGGUGGUUACUGCUGGGGACCAGGCCUCUGGGGCCCAGAGGACCAGGAGGGGGAUCCUGGUGGGCUGAGAGACCAGGUGGACCCACCCCCACCCCUAGGGACAGCAGGGACUGGUCAGCAGUACUUAUGGUGGUUAUUGCUGGGGGACCAGGCCUCCGGGGCCUAGAGGACCAGGAGGGGGACCAGGUGAGCCUGGGGACCAGUAGUGCCCACCCCCACCCCCAGGGACAGCAGGGGCUGGUCCGCAGUGGUUAUGGUGGUUAUUGCUGGGGGACCAGGCCUCCGGGGCCCAGACGACCAGGAGGGGGAUCCAGUGUGUGAAAGUAUUUUUGGGACCUGGCGUCUUCACAAGCCCCAAGGGUUAUUCCUGGAGGUGCCAGAGGCUCCAGGUUUCUUGGGAGAGUCUUGGUUUAGGGCCGCAGCUCAGGUGUUAGCGACGCGACCUCCUUGUCCGCUCAGGAGUCUCAGGCUUUGGGCAGUAACCCGAAGGAUCACCUACGGAAGCCCACGGAACAACGGAGA